rnacentral:rRNA from 1 species
GACGGAGGAUGCAAGUGUUAUCCGGAAUCACUGGGCGUAAAGCGUCUGUAGGUGGUUCAAUAAGUCAACUGUUAAAUCUUGAGGCUCAACUUCAAAAUCGCAGUCGAAACUAUUGGACUCGAGUAUAGUAGGGGUAAAGGGAAUUUCCAGUGGAGCGGUGAAAUGCGUAGAGAUUGGAAAGAACACCAAUGGCGAAAGCACUCUGCUGGGCCGACACUGACACUGAGAGACGAAAGCUAGGGGAGCGAAUGGG